rnacentral:rRNA from 1 species
AUUGAACGCUGGCGGCAUGCCUUACACAUGCAAGUCGAACGGUAACAGGUUAAGCUGACGAGUGGCGAACGGGUGAGUAAUAUAUCGGAACGUGCCCAGUCGUGGGGGAUAACUGCUCGAAAGAGCAGCUAAUACCGCAUACGACCUGAGGGUGAAAGCGGGGGAUCGCAAGACCUCGCGCGAUUGGAGCGGCCGAUAUCAGAUUAGGUAGUUGGUGGGGUAAAGGCCCACCAAGCCAACGAUCUGUAGCUGGUCUGAGAGGACGACCAGCCACACUGGGACUGAGACACGGCCCAGACUCCUACGGGAGGCAGCAGUGGGGAAUUUUGGACAAUGGGCGCAAGCCUGAUCCAGCCAUGCCGCGUGCGGGAAGAAGGCCUUCGGGUUGUAAAGCACUUUUGUCCGGAAAGAAAUGGCUCUGGUUAAUACCUGGGGUCGAUGACGGUACCGGAAGAAUAAGGACCGGCUAACUACGUGCCAGCCGCCGCCGUAA